CGUGCAACAAUUUACAUAAUAACUCAUACAAAGCGUAAGGAUGGUAGACCAUUAGAUGAGGAGUCUUGAAAUAAACUUGUAAGAUUUCUUACAAAAGAUACAAUAUUUAAGAUGGAUACGUAGACGAUAACCUUAUACAUGGAUUCAAGCUAGCUUAGCUAAUCUUAUACAUGGAUUUAAAUGGUCAUUGCCUGAUAAUAUGACUCCUGGGGACCUCAACAUGGAUGAAAAAGAUACAAGAUUUAAAAUGGAUAAGCAGACGAUACCAUUACAAAAGAUUUAGAGCACGAGAUCAAACAAAACACGAAGUUUAUCUUGGUGGAACCAUAGAAGUGCUGAAUCAAACAGAGUAAAGUUUUGGUGAAUGUCUUGGCUCUAUCACAACAACAAAUGGAAACUUUUUAGGUGUGGGGAGCCCAAAAAUCUCAUCCAUGUUGAGGUCCCAGGAAGUCAUAUUACCAAGCAAUGACAAUUUAAAUCCAUGUAUAAGAUUAUCUAAUCUAACAAAUGCUAUUGUUGUGUAUUUUAGGAACUAGGAUACGGACCUCAACAUGGAUAAAAAAGAUACAAGAUUUAAGAUGGAUAAGUAGACGAUACCAUUACAAAAGAUUUAGAGCACGAGUUCAAAAAGAACAAGAAGUCUAUCUUGAUGGAAUCACAUAAGUGGUAAAUCAAACAGGGUAACAUUUUGGUGAAUGUCUUGGCUCAAUCACAGCAGCAAGUGAAAACUUUUUAGUUGUGGAGAGCCCAAAAAUCUCAUCAAUGUUGAGGUCCUCGGGGUUUAUAUUAUC
rnacentral:lncRNA from 1 species